CAGCGUUAUAUUGUAUAAACGAUUUGAAUAUACCUUUAAAAACAGAUAUAAUUUUCUCAUUUUGAUGAACAUGCUACCGGUGCUUAUUCAACUAGAGUGAAGCUUUCCCACAAAAUUAUUUAUUUUGUGCAGAACCAUUGCAUUGGUAAAACACAAGAAGUUAAAUUUGUACGUACCGACGUAACGCGUGGUGUCUUCCUAUGCCGCUCGUGUUGCAUGGGUAGUUUGCUUUUAUUUACUAACAUUCCGAUAAUGUUACUAGUUUUCAUUUUGUAACUGGUAGAAAUGCUGGGAUACAUUUUUAAAAACAAGUGAUAAAAGCCAUGAAAUAUGCAGCGAGUUUACGAAGAUACUUGAUUUAAAAAGUUCAACGCAAGUCCGGUGUCCUGCGUGAUUUGCGUUGCGUGGGUCAGAUGUGACCGCCUAUUUUUUCCUAUCCCCCGCUUUGGAAGAUGGUUCUGGCCCAAAAUGUAUACCCUUUCCAUAUGACGUUGAGUAGGUCACAUGGAUACUAUUACGGGCUAGCAUGCUACAUGUGUAGGGUGAAAUGUGACUGCUGUCCUGUUGCGUCGGUUUCGCGCGCUUCGCCAAAUUGCAACGACGACGCGGAAAUUUUUUGGCCGCUUUUGAAUUGUGGAUUGAUUGUUGACCUGACAGAUUGUGGUGUUCGUCUCACCUAUAUGCGUCAAGGCGCUUUUUACACUUGGCCCCUGGGCGAAGAGCAUAUUUAUCAUCAUCCGCUCUGUGACGUCAAACAGAAGCUCAGUGCUCCUGAACCGGUGUUGAUAGGCUCCAGAAUGGUUUUUAAUUUUAAGAAGUGAACAACAUGAACACAAAAAUAAUACAAAUCACACGAUUAUGAGUGGUUAUGUUUUAUUUGGAUAUCCAACAUAUUAAAAUUUAGUUUCUUGACUCAAACUUUAAGGCCUUGCAAUGAAAGAUGUAACAGAGAUACGGUGUCCUUGUUACGUGGGUAACAUCUAUAUGAGCAACAAAUUUAAUCCAUUUCCUGAUCCUGCAGCAUUACAAUUGUUCAUAGUUGUGUUGCUCAUUUCUGCUCUUCUCUGCAGAAGCCAAAAUAAGUGCUGUCAUGGAGUGAGUCUUGAGAAAACAGGAAUAUUGCUAAGGAGAGGGAUUUUUUUGCAUAUCAUUUAACUUCACCAUAUACAGUAGAUUGUAUUCCCACUGAAUUUAUAUAAUUAAAAUGUAAGAAUUUCCAUCUUGGCUGCAAUGUUUAUGCGUGAAAUGUUAUUGAUUACCAAAACAACAAAUAAAAUGAGCCAUUGGGAAACUUUAUCUGUGACCUAUACCUUGCUAUAACUAUAGUGGUGUUAGAAUGGUGUCCUUGUUACAUGGGUAUUUGGAAAGUGCACACUGUUAUUGUAAUAGAUUACUGCAUUUUCCAUGCACAUGCUGCUAUAAAAAGUUUAAGAAAUUAUGAAUGGUGAAUAUUUGAGAAGUUGAAAUUGUAUUGUUUCUAGACUUGUAACAAGAGUGCUUAAAAUUGGGGAAAACAUACAUGUAAAUAACCGCUGUGUGUGAACCAUCUUACCUUUGCAAACGAUGAUGAAGGCAGUCGACACCUGACAAGUCACAGACUGAGUGAUUCAGAACUGAAUGCAAAGUAUACUUCAACCACCAUGUUGAGUGGUCAUGUUUUAUUUGAAUAUCCAACAUAUUAAAAUUUAGUUUCUUGACUCAAACUUUAAAGCCUUGCAAUGAAAGAUGUAACAGAGAUACGGUGUCCUUGUUACGUGGGUAACAUCUAUAUGAGCAACAAAUUUAACCCAUUUCCUGAUCGUGCAGCAUUACAAUUGUUCAUAGUUGUGUUGCUCAUUUCUGCUCUUCUCUGCAGAAGCCAAAAUAAGUGCUGUCAUGGAGUGAGUCUUGAGAAAACAGGAAUAUUGCUAAGGAGAGGGUAUUUUUUGCAUAUCAUUUAACUUCACCAUAUACAGUAGAUUGUUUUCCCACUGAAUUUAUAUAAUUAAAAUGUAAGAAUUUCCAUCUUGGCUGCAAUGUUUAUGCGUGAAAUGUUAUUGAUUACCAAAACAACAAAUAAAAUGAGCCAUUGGGAAACUUUAUCUGUGACCUAUACCUUGCUAGAACUAUAGUGGUGUUAGAAUGGUGUCCUUGUUACAUGGGUAUUUGGAAAGUGCACACUGUUAUUGUAAUAGAUUACUGCAUUUUCCAUGCACAUGCUGCAAUAAAAAGUUUAAGAAAUUAUGAAUGGUGAAUAUUUGUGGACUUUUAAUAUUUGCUUAAAAUUUGAAAAGCUGCACUUUGAAA
rnacentral:lncRNA from 1 species